rnacentral:rRNA from 1 species
AGCGAACGCUGGCGGCAGGCUUAACACAUGCAAGUCGAACGGGCAUCUUCGGAUGUCAGCGGCAGACGGGUGAGUAACACGUGGGAACGUACCCUUCGGUUCGGAACAACUCUGGGAAACUGGAGCUAAUACCGGAUACGCCCUUACGGGGAAAGGUUUACUGCCGAAGGAUCGGCCCGCGUCUGAUUAGCUAGUUGGUGGGGUAACGGCCUACCAAGGCGACGAUCAGUAGCUGGUCUGAGAGGAUGAUCAGCCACACUGGGACUGAGACACGGCCCAGACUCCUACGGGAGGCAGCAGUGGGGAAUAUUGGACAAUGGGCGCAAGCCUGAUCCAGCCAUGCCGCGUGAGUGAUGAAGGCCUUAGGGUUGUAAAGCUCUUUUGUCCGGGACGAUAAUGACGGUACCGGAAGAAUAAGCCCCGGCUAACUUCGUG